rnacentral:tRNA from 1 species
GGGGUCGUAGUUCAGCAUGGUUAGAACGCCGGCCUGUCACGCCGGAGGUCGCGGGUUCGAUCCCCGUCGACCCCGCCA